rnacentral:rRNA from 1 species
UUUCUUGAUGGUAUAAAAUCAAGUAUAAUCUGCUCCAUGAACAAUUAAAUAGCCGCAGAAAUUUAACUGUGCUAAGGUAGCAUAAUCAUUAGUCUUUUAAUUAAAGACCAGUAUGAAAGAUUUAACAGCUCAAAAUCUAUCAUUACUUAAAACUUUUAAAUUUUAUUAAAAAUAAAAAUAUUUUUAUUUACUAAUAAGACGACAAGACCCUAUUGAACUUUACUUCAGUUUAGCUGGGGCAGCUAUUCAAUAAUUAUUUUGAAUUUGAAAAUUAAAUAGAUAUCUAAUAUAAAUAAAUUAUCAAGUUACCAUAGGGAUAACAGCGUAAUUAAAUUUAAAAGUUCUUAUUAAAAAUUUAGAUUACGACCUCGAUGUUGAAUUAUUAUUCCUCUUUUACGCAAAAGUAAAACCAGGAGGUCUGUUCGACCUUUAAAUUAAUACA